rnacentral:rRNA from 1 species
UGGGGAAUUUUGGACAAUGGGCGCAAGCCUGAUCCAGCCAUGCCGCGUGCGGGAAGAAGGCCUUCGGGUUGUAAACUGCUUUUGUACGGAACGAAAAAGCUUCUCCUAAUACGAGAGGCCCAUGACGGUACCGUAAGAAUAAGCACCGGCUAACUACGUGCCAGCAGCCGCGGUAAUACGAAGGGGGCUAGCGUUGUUCGGAAUUACUGGGCGUAAAGCGCACGUAGGCGGGUAUUUAAGUCAGGGGUGAAAUCCCGGAGCUCAACUCCGGAACUGCCUUUGAUACUGGGUACCUAGAGUAUGGAAGAGGUGAGUGGAAUUCCGAGUGUAGAGGUGAAAUGCGUAGAUAUGCGGAGGAACACCGAUGGCGAAGGCAAUCCCCUGGGCCUGCACUGACGCUCAUGCACGAAAGCGUGGGGAGCAAACA